rnacentral:tRNA from 1 species
GUCAGAGUGUCGGAGUGGUUAACGAGUGAGACUUGAAUUAUCUUCGAUAUCUCAUGCCUUCGGGCUCGCAGGUUCGAAUCCUGUCUCUGACG